GAUGAACGCUAGCGGCAGGCCUAACACAUGCGAGUCGAGGGAGGAGCCUUCGGGCUUCGACCGGCGUACGGGUGCGUAACGCGUAUACAAUCUGCCUUCCACAUAGGGAUAGCCCGAAGAAAUUUGGAUUAAUACCUAAUGGUAUAUAGAUGUGGCAUCACCUUUAUAUUAAAGCUGAGGCGGUGAAAGAUGAGUAUGCGUUCUAUUAGCUAGUUGGAGAGGUAACGGCUCCCCAAGGCGACGAUAGAUAGGGGUUCUGAGAGGGAUAUCCCCCACACUGGUACUGAGAUACGGACCAGACUCCUACGGGAGGCAGCAGUGAGGAAUAUUGGACAAUGGUCGGAAGACUGAUCCAGCCAUGCCGCGUGCAGGAAGACGGCCUUAUGGGUUGUAAACUGCUUUUGCAGGGGAAGAAUAAGGACUACGCGUAGUUUGAUGACGGUACUCUGCGAAUAAGCAUCGGCUAACUCCGUG
rnacentral:rRNA from 1 species